rnacentral:rRNA from 1 species
UGACCUCAAAUCAGGUAGGACUACCCGCUGAAUUAAGCAUAUCAAUAAGCGGAGGAAAAGAAACUAACAAGGAUUCCCCUAGUAACUGCGAGUGAAGCGGGAAAAGCUCAAAUUUAAAAUCGGGCGGUCUUGCGGCCGUCCGAGUUGUAAUCUGGAGAAGCGUCUAUCCGCGUCGGACCGUGUACAAGUCUUCUGGAAGGGAGCGUCAUAGAGGGUGAGAAUCC